rnacentral:rRNA from 1 species
GCAAGUCGAACGAGAACGGCUCUUCGGAGCUUAUUAGAGUGGCAGACGGGUGAGUAACACGUGGGAAUCUACCUUAUAGUACGGAAUAGCCCUGGGAAACUAGGAUUAAUACCGUAUACGCCCUACGGGGGAAAGAUUUAUCGCUAUAAGAUGAGCCCGCGGUUGAUUAGCUUGUUGGUAGGGUAAUGGCCUACCAAGGCGACGAUCAAUAGCUGGUUUGAGAGGAUAAUC